ACUCCUACGGGAGGCAGCAGUGGGGAAUUUUGGACAAUGGGCGAAAGCCUGAUCCAGCAAUGCCGCGUGAGUGAAGAAGGCCUUCGGGUUGUAAAGCUCUUUUGUCAGGGAAGAAACGGUGAAAGCUAAUAUCUUUUGCUAAUGACGGUACCUGAAGAAUAAGCACCGGCUAACUACGUGCCAGCAGCCGCGGUAAUACGUAGGGUGCAAGCGUUAAUCGGAAUUACUGGGCGUAAAGCGUGCGCAGGCGGUCUUGUAAGUCUGAUGUGAAAUCCCCGGGCUCAACCUGGGAAUUGCAUUGGAGACUGCAAGGCUAGAAUCUGGCAGAGGGGGGUAGAAUUCCACGUGUAGCAGUGAAAUGCGUAGAUAUGUGGAGGAACACCGAUGGCGAAGGCAGCCCCCUGGGUCAAGAUUGACGCUCAUGCACGAAAGCGUGGGGAGCAAACAGGAUUAGAAACCCUAGUAGUCCC
rnacentral:rRNA from 1 species